rnacentral:lncRNA from 1 species
AUAUGUAAUUUUAUAAAUAGUUAAAAUUCAGAGUACUUUAUGUAAAUAUAAAAAGUUUUACUUUCUGUAUAAAUACUCUCUCAAUCACAGUUGAAGAACGAAACAUCAUUUUUACUCUAUCAGUUGUACUGCUUAAGUCUCUCUCUUUCUCUCCUUCUCUCUCUUUUGAAACACUUCAGCUUAUUUCCUGAAAUUUCAUACUGAAUCUUCUUCCAUUCUUUACAAAAUUGCAUCAGAUUUAAUUGUCUUUUUUUGCUUAAAUCAUCUAUAUUUUUUCAUGAAAUCUAACACUCUUUAAAGUAGUUGU